UACGUAGGGUGCGAGCGUUGUCCGGAAUUAUUGGGCGUAAAGCGCGCGUAGGCGGCCCGGUAAGUCCGCUGUGAAAGUCAAAGGCUCAACCUUUGAAUGGCAGCGGAUACUGCCGGGCUAGAGUCCGGAAGAGGCGAGUGGAACUCCUGGUGUAGCGGUGGAAUGCGCAGAUAUCAGGAAGAACACCGGCGGCGAAGGCAGCUCGCUGGGACGGAACUGACGCUGAGGCGCGAAAGCGUGGGGAGCGAACAGG
rnacentral:rRNA from 1 species